AUUAAUGCAUCCCAUUUAUUGGUUGAGUUUGGCAUAUGGACGUAUUUAUUUAUAACAUUUAAAGAAGAAAUUUGAUCAGAUUGAUUUGAUUGGAGAAUUUGUUUUUGAAAUGUCUAGUUUCACCUCCAAAGCUUACGUAUCUUGAAGAAUUUUGUGUUGUCUCCAAAACUAAUUUUUUAAAAGAAUUAAUUUUUAGCAAAUUCCAACUUAUGAAAUUAUGUUCAAUGAGGCAGUAAACGCAGCACCAUUGUCUUAACUAAAUUAUUUGAAGAGAAAGUGAAACGAGAUUUCUUCAGACAGCAAACUAUCUGGCAGUACUAUGUGAGUAAAAUUCUCCCUGAAACUAAUGUGCAUGACUCCAUAUUAUUUUCUUCCCUCCAUCUCGCAUUAUCUGUGUUUAUGUUUUUGGUCAAUGCCAUGCAACUUAAGUAUAGCGAUGGCAAGUCUCAUAAUUAUUUGUUAUACAAAAUGUAAUGAGAAACCCUGUUUUAAGCAUUUUAGUAGUCUUUAAACAUUUCUUAGCUGAUGUUGAAAUAUCGAUAGGGCCCUUACAUUUUAUCGAUACUGAUGUUAACAUUGACAGCUUAUGAUAUUGCGACUUGCCGGUUUCAACUUUCCUUUUCAUACUUUUUCCUCCCUGUAAGAUUUGAACUUUUCAAUUUGGGAUUAAAUUUGACUGCUGUCUAAAUUGGUGAUAAAUUUCAGGUUAAGAAAAACAAAAAGCAGAAACUGAAACAAAGAAAACUACCUCUGCUCGGAAAGCUGUUAAAACCACCGAGAAAUUGGAACAGCGGGUAAUAAAUUAGGCUUCAAUGGGAAUUCUUUUUUCUCUUUCUGUUUGCCACAGUACAAUGUAAAGCUCAAGACAUGGCUAAGAGUAAUAGGGAAAUUAUUGUCUUUCGUUAUUUGUUAAAUUCUUGUUGUAUGAUGAUUUCAAUCCCUACGAGCGAACUGGAGUAUAUUUGUUUUGUAUUUUACAUGUGAUGUCGACAUGAAUCAAUUAUGAUGCUUUGAGACUUCUAAAUGAUGAUAUGGAACAAGGUUCUGGUAUGGCACACAUCGAUUUGAAACUCGAUUCUUGAAGAAAUGACCAUUCACAGAACGAAAACAUUACCACACCUAAAAUGCAAAGAUUUGAAUAGGGCAAUUAUGAUGAAGAAUCUUCAUAAUGAAGAUCACUUGUGGCGACGAUGAUGUUACAUUCGGUCAUCAAAAUGAUGCGAUGUCUUACGGGUUUGAAGAUGAAUAUGACGAAAAUUUUGAUUUCGAGGAUGAUAGGUGGAAAUCGUUGUUUUUGAACAAUGUCAAGUAGUUAAUUAAUUUUUGAGGCAGUAUUUACUACAAUUGGGUAAA